AUUAUUUUAAGUACAAUUUGCUCCAUGUUUUAUAAAUAGCCGCAGUAUUUACUGUGCUAAGGUAGCAUAAUCAUUAACCUUUUAAUUGAAGGCUAGAAUGAACGAUUUUACAAUUUAACUAUUUUUUUUUUCCUAAAAAUUGAAUUUAUAUUAAAUAUAAAAAUAUAUUUAUAACAAAAAAAGACGAUAAGACCCUAUUGAACUUUACUUUAGUUUAGCUGGGGAAGCUAAUUAAAAAUUAUUUUAAUUUUUUUUUUAAAUAAAUAAACCAAUAAAAUUGAUUUGAUCAAGUUACCAUAGGGAUAACAGCGUAAUAUUUUUUAAAAGCUCUUAUAUAAAAAAAAGUUUACGACCUCGAUGUUGAAUUAAUUUAACUUUAAAACGCAAUCGUAUAAAAGUGGGUCUGU
rnacentral:rRNA from 1 species